UGGUUUAUGACCACGCCAAUUCUCUUG
rnacentral:piRNA from 1 species